rnacentral:misc_RNA from 1 species
GCUGCAUGUGGCAACAGGACGCGACCACCCUACUUCCAAACACUUCAUCGAUCCACACUUGUGGAAGCCCAUCACAUCCUUUCCCCAAAGGAUUCUGCUGAAAUACAUUGCGAGCGGAAGGGUUGGAUAACAAAUUAUCAGGGCCAGAGCUUGUGGGGCUAUAUCCAGGAUUAUAGCCUGCUUUACGUAUCAAACAUGGCAGCUGGCGGUUAUGCCUUGACCGUCACGCUCCGUAUCUUCAACCGUGAAGGGCACACAACCAGAUUGUUAUGCAACACGCCUCUCCCACUCAGUCAGCUGAUUGUACUUUGCCCCAGAAAGCAUUCGCGAUUCCAUUGUGACUACCAUUCACUUGAACUGUAUCUAUUUAGAUGCACUCCUUCGACAAAAGUAUCCAACAAGCAACCAAAUUUACCAAAUGUAAAAGUAUUAAUAGUCAGAGUAGCCUAUAGGCUACUACCUAUAAUCCAGAUUUUGCCGUAUGAUUUAGAAAACUCCGAAUUUAUCAAUAUUGGAAGAAUAGGUCAAACGAGAAUACGACUUUAUACUUGACGUGACUUUAUUUAUGUAUCUAUCACAUUGUGUACAAAUACAUGACUUGAAGAAAGGCUCAUGGACAGGCUCAUGCCCAAAACUGUCUCAUUCCCAAUUUUUACUAAAGUAACUACUUCACUAGGCAAUUUGACUUUCUGGCUCGAAACUUCCUUCAUGUUGAGGUCACUUAGAACCCAUACCACGAGAGAGUGGAAAAAUCAGGAUAUUUUUGGUUCGACAUUCUCGGUCGAUAAUGUACAAAUGAAUGGUUAUACAAAUCCAAACUACGCUAUAAGACAAAACAACUAGAAAAGAUUCAGUAGUUU